CCCCCUACAGAUUGAUUUCAUGUUGAACCACUGAUCUCUACUACAAUAGCUGGAUUGCACAUCGGCCAAUCAUUGUACAGAAAAAAAAAAAUGAAGCCACUGACCCCAAAUGCAAGAUCCCAAGUGAGCCUCUAAACCAUUCAACACACAUGUGGGUGUAAUUUACAAAAGCAUGAGCGAUGUCACAUUGUUGGUGAUUGUCACGCUGGUUCAACAGUUUUGCAUUGUGAUGACACAUUUGUGACGUUUUGGGUUCCCCAACCAGCCAAUGGACAAUCCCGCCAUUAUAGUAGAGUGUAGUGCGUUUUUUAACAUGCACACGGGCCAUAUUGCACACAAGAUCAACGGCUUAAACGUCAAUCCGAAAGAUGAUGUACUAUUCUAACUUGUAAUUCAGUCCUCAACUUAAACACAAGAAGAGCAGCGAUGGGAAUUGAACUGGAAACCUAGAGAUCUUCACGGUUCAGCGCACACACAAUGGCUACCAUAAGAUUAGCCGACUGAAACUUUGAAAUACAGUUCUCCAUAAAACCACGUUGGCAGAAUGUGUGCCCUGCUAUACAUCAUUUAAAUAAAGUUGAAA